CUACGGGUGGCUGCAGUGGGGAAUAUUGCACAAUGGGCGCAAGCCUGAUGCAGCAACGCCGCGUGAGGGAUGAAGGCCUUCGGGUUGUAAACCUCUUCUAGCAGGGAAGAAGCGAAAGUGACGGUACCUGCAGAAAAAGCACCGGCUAACUACGUGCCAGCAGCCGCGGUAAUACGUAGGGUGCAAGCGUUGUCCGGAAUUAUUGGGCGUAAAGAGCUCGUAGGCGGUUUGUCACGUCUGCUGUGAAAAUCCAAGGCUCAACCUUGGACUUGCAGUGGGUACGGGCAGGCUAGAGUGCGGUAGGGGAGAUGGGAAUUCCUGGUGUAGCGGUGGAAUGCGCAGAUAUCAGGAGGAACACCAAUGGCGAAGGCACAUCUCUGGGCCGUAACUGACGCUGAGGAGCGAAAGCGUGGGGAGCGAACAGGAUUAGAUACCCUAGUAGUC
rnacentral:rRNA from 1 species